CAGCCUUCCUGUUAACUCUUAAUAAACUUACACAUGCAAGCAUCUACACCCCAGUGAGAAUGCCCUCUAGGUUAUUAAAACUAAGAGGAGCUGGCAUCAAGCACACACCCUGUAGCUCACGACGCCUUGCUUAACCACACCCCCACGGGAAACAGCAGUGACAAAAAUUAAGCCAUAAACGAAAGUUUGACUAAGUUAUAUUAAUUAGGGUUGGUAAAUCUCGUGCCAGCCACCGCGGUCAUACGAUUAACCCAAGCUAACAGGAGUACGGCGUAAAACGUGUUAAAGCACCAUACCAAAUAGGGUUAAAUUCUAACUAAGCUGUAAAAAGCCAUGAUUAAAAUAAAAAUAAAUGACGAAAGUGACCCUACAAUAGCCGACGCACUAUAGCUAAGACCCAAACUGGGAUUAGAUACCCCACUAUGCUUAGCCCUAAACACAGAUAAUUACAUAAACAAAAUUAUUCGCCAGAGUACUACUAGCAACAGCUUAAAACUCAAAAGGACUUGGCGGUGCUUUAU
rnacentral:rRNA from 1 species